UACAGAGGGUGCGAGCGUUGUCCGGAAUUAUUGGGCGUAAAGGGCGCGUAGGCGGCUUGGCAAGUGGAAGGUGAAAUCCCUCGGCUUAACCGAGGAACUGCCCUCCAAACUGCUUCGCUUGAGACCGGGAGAGGUGAGUGGAAUUCCCAGUGUAGCGGUGAAAUGCGUAGAUAUUGGGAGGAACACCAGUGGCGAAGGCGGCUCACUGGACCGGUACUGACGCUGAUGCGCGAAAGCGUGGGGAGCAAGCGGG
rnacentral:rRNA from 1 species